UCCAUUGACUGAUACUGUAUGAACAGAAACCAGCAGGACAAACUUGACCAAAAUCACAUCCUCUAUGUUUUUUGGUCUUUUUCUAGAUGCUCUUGCUGGCUCUGGGCUCACUGAGAAAGAAGAGACCACAGCAACAUCCAGUCCAGAUGAGGCAGUAAGGGCAGGAGGAGUGAUGGAGGGUCUCAUCCAUGGCUCUACACCAUUCCCAGGACCUGCUGUGGCUCUCCAUCCUCAGUGCUCACACCAGUCUGAGGACAUUUCACAUCCUACAAAAGUUUUCCCUUUUUUUCCCCACAAAUGCUGCCGUCACCUUGUCUUGCAGGUCCUGCUCCACAAAAGCUCUGCAGCAAAUGUACAGACAUCAAGAAUCAGAAAAGUGCUGUAAUAACUCUGUUUGAAAUUACAAUAAUUAAAAUAAACUACAACUUAA